rnacentral:lncRNA from 1 species
ACAAAUGCAGUAGAGAUUUGUGUUUUGAAUUUUGAAAACGAUCUUCCAACAGGACACAAUCAACAAACUGGAGAAUGAGCUGCGAAGCACGAAGAGCGAGAUGGCCAGGUACCUGAAGGAGUACCAGGACCUCCUCAAUGUCAAGAUGGCAUUGGACAUUGAGAUUGCAGCUUACAGGAAACUCUUGGAAGGCGAAGAAACCAGGCUCAGUUUCACCAGCGUGGGUAGCAUAACCAGCGGCUACUCUCAGAGCUCGCAGGUCUUUGGCCGUUCUGCUUACAGUGGCUUGCAGAGCAGCUCCUACUUGAUGUCU